rnacentral:rRNA from 1 species
ACGUCGGGGGCAAGCGUUGUCCGGAAUUAUUGGGCGUAAAGCGCGCGCAGGCGGUCAUUUAAGCCUGGUGUUUAAUCCCGGGGCUCAACCCCGGAUCGCACUGGAAACUGGGUGACUUGAGUGCAGAAGAGGAAAGUGGAAUUCCACGUGUAGCGGUGAAAUGCGUAGAUAUGUGGAGGAACACCAGUGGCGAAGGCGACUCUCUGGGCUGUAACUGACGCUGAGGCGCGAAAGCGUGGGGAGCAAACAGGAUUAGAUACCCUGGUAGUCCACGCCGUAAACGAUGAGUGCUAGGUGUUAGGGGUUUCGAUACCCUUGGUGCCGAAGUUAACACAUUAAGCAUUCCGCCUUGUGACUACGGUCGCAAGACUG